UCUUGUGGGUGAGCAAAGAAAGUAGUUUCUUGAGAUGAAUCUACUCUUGGUGAAGAUGCUGUGAA
rnacentral:pre_miRNA from 1 species